rnacentral:tRNA from 1 species
AGCUUGGUACUUUAAGUAUAAAAGGCGAGAUUUGCAUUUUCGUAAUGAGUAGGCCUCCCUAGCUA